rnacentral:rRNA from 1 species
UACGUAGGGUGCGAGCGUUACUCGGAAUUACUGGGCGUAAAGCGUGCGUAGGUGGUUCGUUAAGUCUGUCGUGAAAGCCCCGGGCUCAACCUGGGAAUGGCGAUGGAUACUGGCGGGCUAGAGUGCGGUAGAGGAGAGUGGAAUUCCCGGUGUAGCAGUGAAAUGCGUAGAGAUCGGGAGGAACAUCAGUUGCGAAGGCGGCUCUCUGGACCAGCACUGACACUGAGGCACGAAAGCGUGGGGAGCAAACAGG